CCCCACACCUUCUUCUUUCCCUCUCACAAGACCCCACCAAUUCAGCAGACCUUCGCUAGCUAAGUUUAGCGAUGGUUUCCCGCACCCAAAGUAGUGAAAGAAGGAAAAGAGGUGGGCAGGCGAUUGUGGUAGAGUAGUUUCUGAGCUACGUUUGUUCUGUACUAACUCAAAAGGUGGUUUGUUGGGUUGCUGGGAGAAAAGAAAAACGAGCUAGAGGGGAGAUGUGGGACAUAGAAAUAGAAACCCAUUUGAUUAGGACUUGAAUGAUCUAGCAAAGAUCUCUUCUCCUGCAUAAAUACUGCUCCACCUCCACUCUCUUCCUCCUCUUCUCAACCACAUCCUAUCCUAUCCCAGUUGUGGUCCGGCUUAAUACAGGCCGUCUCCGUUCCCUGUAGAUCUCGGCCGGUGCAAGCAACGAUCACGGAAACUACCGCACUUGCAUUGUUUUUCAUCAUCCAUCGAAGCAAUUGGUUGAACCAUAUAUACAUUAAUGCAUUCAUGUUAUGCCAUGUGAUAGCAUACGUAUUUACGUAUGUGCCUGGCUCCCUGUAUGCCAUUCGUAGAGCCCAUCGGCACAUCGAUGGUCUUCGUGGAUGGCGUGCGAGGAGCCAUGCAUAUUGCAUAUACCGGAUGCAUCCAUAUGCUCUAAACUGCAAUUACUACUCUCUCGCUCUCUCGCUCUCUCUCUCUCUCUCAAGAGUUUUGCCGUCAUAGAAUCAUGUAUGCGACAGAAGAACCGGUAAAGGUUUUAUAACUCUAGUGUUUCGAUGGUUGCAGGUUCGUCACCAAAGCUCCUUGGCCAAUGGAUAGCCAAGCAAAGUAGCGGGAGAUCCGGCAUUGGAUGGGUCCCACUGUAGAGAUCCGCUGAAAGCUAUCCGAUUGGACGGCUCCAACUCCUCCUAUCUAUCAAACAUUCGUUUUGGAUGGUCAGAACUCAGAGAAGAAAGUACAACCAGUGGAUCCCACCCCACCCCACCCCCUGCUUCUGCUUGUUGCUUGUAUCAAAGGACACAUCAAAUGCCAUGCAUUAUGCCAUCCAACUGAUAUAUAUAUAUAUAUAUAUAUGUGAUGGUCCAUCAUCCAUGCUAAGAAGAGUUCUUGGUGUUUGUUUAGCGUAAGGAAUUAAUUAAAACGAUCAAGCUCUGUUGCCUACUGAUCAUGAAGCUUCCAUCUCAAGACUAAUGGUCCCUCUAUAUACUGAUAAUGAAUCUUUCAUUUGUUUUCGAUGUUUCUGCUAGUUAUUAUUAUUAUUUUUGCCUUGAUAGCUUUUAUUCAAUAUAAGUGGCUGAUGGUGUAUUUAUUUAUUCA